GGAACUGGCUAGACGGGAGACCUCUGGUCUGGUUCCCAGUUGCUGUUCCCCUACUGCCUUUCUUGGAAGCACGGUCCUGCCUCCCUGCCUGUCCCAGGGCAAAGAUGACCUCUGAGCCCUGCUCAGCCACCAAUGGCGACAGGUAGCUGUGGCCUGGGCCAGCCCCUUGUCGGUCUUUCCUCCACGUCCUUCUUCUCCCACCAGCAGCAUUACCUAGAAGCUUGUCAGAAAUGCAGAAUCCCAGGCUCUCGACCCACCCAGACCGACUGCAUCAAAGCCUGAACAUUAACAAGAUUCCCGGGAGACUCAUAUGCACAUUGCAGUUGGAGACGCAGUUGGAGAACUGAGCUGAAGCAGGGUUCCUCUGCCCUGCCGGCUGCUUGUUCUCUCCUUGUCCCUCCUCCCACAGCCUCCGGAAACCCCAUCUGGGGAGCUGUUCUGCAAAGCUGCACCUUAUCCACCUCCUGGAGCAAAACACGAGCUACCUGCCGGGGACUGUUCAGAGUGCUUCCUGCGAAGUCUCCCACUCAGAAGUCACAGCGAUCCUAGGAGGUAGAUCUAUUCCUGUGCCCGUUUUACAGACAAGGAAACUGAGGCAGAGUUUUGGUAACCGGACUUGCCUUUGGAACCCAGCCGCCAUGCUGUGAGGAAGCCCAGGAUAACCCACGUGGCUGUGUGCUCCUGGGUGGCAGGCCACAGGUCCUGUUUCUCCCAGGCAUCUUCAUCUCCUGUCCUGGCCAACCUGGAAGUGCUUAGAGAGGGCUUGUUUGACCGACUGGAGGGUGUGGAGGAUGGACACUAAUCCUGGGAGCCAGGGAUCCAUCCCUCGAGCUUGGAUCCUACCUCCCUGCCCACAUUCCCUGAGCUCUCAUUAUAGGGAAUCACUGUUGGCCCGAUGUGGACUGUGAAUGACCUGGGCCUCCAGACCUCAGUUUCGCCACCUGUGAAAUAAAAAUGUUGGAUGAGGAUGAAGGGGCUCCUUCAGCUUUUUUGCUCAGGGAUUCCCCAAGAGGGUGAGGCAGCUUCCUCGCC
rnacentral:lncRNA from 10 species